AUUGAACGCUGGCGGCAGGCUUAACACAUGCAAGUCGAGCGGGGAAAGGUAGCUUGCUACCUGACCUAGCGGCGACGGGUGAGUAAUGCUUAGGAAUCUGCCUAUUAGUGGGGGACAACAUUCCGAAAGGAAUGCUAAUACCGCAUACGCCCUACGGGGGAAAGCAGGGGAUCUUCGGACCUUGCGCUAAUAGAUGAGCCUAAGUCAGAUUAGCUAGUUGGUGGGGUAAAGGCCUACCAAGGCGACGAUCUGUAGCGGGUCUGAGAGGAUGAUCCGCCACACUGGGACUGAGACACGGCCCAGACUCCUACGGGAGGCAGCAGUGGGGAAUAUUGGACAAUGGGCGAAAGCCUGAUCCAGCCAUGCCGCGUGUGUGAAGAAGGCCUUUUGGUUGUAAAGCACUUUAAGCGAGGAGGAGGCUACCGAGAUUAAUACUCUUGGAUAGUGGACGUUACUCGCAGAAUAAGCACCGGCUAACUCUGUGCCAGCAGCCGCGGUAACAC
rnacentral:rRNA from 1 species